rnacentral:rRNA from 1 species
CAGCAGCCGCGGUAAUACGUAUGUCGCAAGCGUUAUCCGGAAUUAUUGGGCAUAAAGGGCGUCUAGGCGGUUUAGAAAGUCUGAUGUGAAAAUGCGGGGCUCAACUCCGUAUUGCGUUGGAAACUACUAGACUAGAGUAUUGGAGAGGUAAGCGGAACUACAAGUGUAGAGGUGAAAUUCGUAGAUAUUUGUAGGAAUGCCAAUUGGGAAGCCAGCUUACUGGACAAAUACUGACGCUGAAGCGCGAAAGCUAGGGGAGCAAACAGGAUUAGAUACCCUGGUAGUCCUAGCUGUAAACGAUGAUCACUGGGUGUGGGGGGUCGAACCUCCGUGCCGAAGUUAAUGCGAUAAGUGAUCCGCCUGGGGAGUACGUUCGCAAGAAUGAAACUCAAAGGAAUUGACGGGGACCCGCACAAGCGGUGGAGCAUGUGGUUUAAUUCGACGCAACGCGAGGAACCUUACCAGUUCUUGACAUCCUAAGAACUUAGCAGAGAUGCUUUGGUGCCCCUUCGGGGGAACUUAGUGACAGGUGGUGCAUGGCC